rnacentral:rRNA from 1 species
GGUAGUCCUAGCCGUAAACGAUGGGUGCUAGGUGUGGGGCGGCGAUUGACUCGCCCUGUGCCGGAGCUAACGCAUUAAGCACCCCGCCUGGGGAGUACGGCCGCAAGGCUAAAACUCAAAGGAAUUGACGGGGCCCGCACAAGCGGCGGAGCAUGUGGCUUAAUUCGAUGCGACGCGAAGAACCUUACCUGGGCUUGACAUGCGGGGCGAAGCCUAUGAAAGUAGGCGCUCCUUCGGGAGCCCGCACAGGUGCUGCAUGGCUGUCGUCAGCUCGUGCCGUGAGGUGUUGCCUUAAG